rnacentral:rRNA from 1 species
UGCGCAGGCGGUUUCUUAAGUCAGAUGUGAAAGCCCCGGGCUUAACCUGGGAACUGCGUUUGAAACUGGGAGACUUGAGUGUGGCAGAGGGGGGUGGAAUUCCACGUGUAGCAGUGAAAUGCGUAGAUAUGUGGAGGAACACCGAUGGCGAAGGCAGCCCCCUGGGUUAACACUGACGCUCAUGCACGAAAGCGUGGGGAGCAAACAGGAUUAGAUACCCUGGUAGUCCACGCCCUAAACUAUGUCAACUGGUUGUCGGGGGAUUAACUCCCUUGGUAACGAAGCUAACGCGUGAAGUUGACCGCCUGGGGAGUACGGCCGCAAGGUUAAA